CGGUAAACCGUUGAGCAGAAGCAGUUUAAAACGAAGGCUGUUUUGCAGGAUUUUAAAAGCAUUGUUUAGCAAUUUUUUUUAAAAAGGAAGAAAACAGAAAAAUGUGUCUCCUUGAUCGUAGCACUGUAAUAGUGAUGGGAAAGAGUGGUAAAAAUACUGCAUAAACCCGGGCGGAUUUUCACCGGCACACACUAUCUGUGAUAGCACGCUGCCUGCCUUCCGGAUGACAGUUGUAGGACAGUGAUUCAGCACAAACGAGGUAAUGAGGUCAGUCCCCCAGUACACUCUGUGAUUUAACGCUGCCUGCAAAAUAGCAAGAUACAAGGAGCUGGGCAACCAUAACACACCAAAACACAAAUCACUGGCAACGACCUACGGAACAUUCAAAGGUCUUCCAUCCUCAUAUUUUUCUAACCUCCAGUAAUCUCUGUGACAUUGGCUUUGCCUUUCCAUUUCCUUCCACAAGACAUAUUUGCAAGGGAGCAGCAGAAUCAGGCAGGUCUGAAAUAUUUGGCCUCUUGGAUUCACUGGGAUCAUUCUACUUACUAUAACAGGUAGGGGGACCUAAAUAAGGAAUUCCUUAGAUUCCUGAAGAGGACGUCACAAACUG
rnacentral:lncRNA from 1 species